GUCGUAUUUCUGUGCAUCAUAAAUAUAAUCUUUAUGGUUGCAGGAAUAUUCCUAAAUUCUGUGGUUAUAAUCAGUCUAUGGAGGUCGUCACAACUUCGAAAGAAACUAUGCUACUUUAUGAUUCUUGUAUUAUCUUGUUUUGAUCUGGCUGUAGUCGGCAUCACUCAUCCACUCUACAUCGUAUCUACAAUUUAUUUUUCCCAAGGAGAAAUUAAUGAAACACGCGACUACACAAGGGAAUCCAUAUGUUUUGCUGUUUGUGGUUCCUCGUUAUUUGCGCUUUUUACGCUGAAUGUUGAACGAUUCCUAGCCCUGACCCGUCCAUUUUUCCAUCAAGCAUCAGUCACAAAAACAAGGCUUCUAUGUUUUCAGGCAUUUUGGACGGUUAUAUUCGGUAUAUCGCCAUUGGCAUACUUAAAUUUGGAAAUAAUUAUCGAUAUUUUUGGAACUGUAACUGUAUUAUCCCUCCUAUUCUUGUUCAUUUAUUCAAAUUACAAAAUUUUUAUAAUCGCGAAGUCAAAACGCGCGGACGAAAGUGUUACUCCAACUACAGUGAUGGAUGAAAACAAGAAAAGACGAAUCUUAAAUCUCAAACAUAUUUCUACGUGUUCUUUGGCAGUUGGCUGUUUUUUUUGUUGUUUCUGUCCGUACAUUAUAUAUGCAGCUUUACGUUUAGCAUCGUCGUUGUCUGAGAGGCAAUGGUUGUUAUUUAGUCUGUGGUCAAGCACGUUUAUAUCUUUGAACUCGACAUUCAACUGUGUCAUAUUUUCUGGAGAAACUCAAUUCUGCGUCGAGAAGGAAUGAAGAUAGUAAACGCUUUCCGACGACGCGUUACCAAAUGAAUUGCUCUGUAUUGACAAUCUAUCCGGGUAUUGUAGAAAAUCCGCUCUGUAUUAAUUCUUUGAAGACAAAAACCGCUUCAUUAGACUCACAGCAUUUGCAUGAAUAUGCUGUUGUGUCUAGAAUGAAAUUCUGAGUUAAAUCCACCCGUUAUAUCGCUAGUUUUUGCCUCGGCCCUAAAAGACCGAAAUUAAUUCCAAAUUUAUUAUCCAUUUGCUCGUUCUCAGAAAUAAAACACAUGCAGCCAUCAACAUUGGUUGCUUAAUUUUCCCAUUUGUUUAUUAUAGGAAAGUAAUAUAUAUACAGUAUUUCUAAUGAAUAAAAAUACUAGAAGCGUGUAAAUACUGUUUUGUUUACAACUACAGUAUUAUACGGAACCGGAAGUACAAAUUGUUUUAAAAAUAUUUUCGUUGUUUUUCGGUCAUUUUUGUUUUGUUGUGGUAUAUAAUACAACUAUUAAUUCAAAGGUUCUCGGUCAAACCAUGGAUUGUAAAAUAACUGGAUAGGAAACUUCCUGACGUCACAGUCUAAACCUUGUUGCAAUCUGUGAC
rnacentral:lncRNA from 1 species